rnacentral:rRNA from 1 species
CGGUGGAUCACUCGGCUCGUGGAUCGAUGAAGAACGCAGCAAACUGCGCGUCGAAGUGUGAACUGCAGGACACAUGAACAUCGACGUUUCUAACGCCCAUUGCGGCCCA